rnacentral:rRNA from 1 species
GUAGGGAAUAUUGCGCAAUGGGGGAAACCCUGACGCAGCGACGCCGCGUGAGUGAUGAAGGCCUUCGGGUCGUAAAGCUCUGUUGCAGGGGAAUAAAAAAAUGAAGGUACCCUGUGAGGAAGGAUCGGCUAACUUCGUGCCAGCAGCCGCGGUAAGACGAGGGAUCCUAGCGUUGCUCGGAAUCAUUGGGCGUAAAGAGGGCGUAGGUGGCUUGGUAAGUCAGGUGUGAAAGCACAGGGCUCAACCCUGGAAGUGCAUUUGAUACUGCUGAGCUUGAGUGUCGGAGAGGUUACCGGAAUACCUAGUGUAGUGGUGAAAUACGUAGAUAUCAGGUGGAACACCGUAGGCGAAGGCGGGUAACUGGACGAACACUGACACUGAGGCCCGAAAGCGUGGGGAUCAAACAGGAUUAGAUACCCUGGUAGUCC